AUUGAACGCUGGCGGCAUGCCUUACACAUGCAAGUCGAACGGCAGCGCGGGGCAACCUGGCGGCGAGUGGCGAACGGGUGAGUAAUAUAUCGGAACAUACCCUAGAGUGGGGAUAACGUAGCGAAAGUUACGCUAAUACCGCAUACGCACUAAGGUGGAAAGUGGGGGAUUCGCAAGAACCUCAUGCUCAUGGAGUGGCCGAUAUCUGAUUAGCUAGUUGGUGAGGUAAAGGCUCACCAAGGCAACGAUCAGUAGCUGGUUUGAGAGAACGACCAGCCACACUGGAACUGAGACACGGUCCAGACUCCUACGGGAGGCAGCAGUGGGGAAUUUUUGGACAAUGGGGGCAACCCUGAUCCAGCAAUGCCGCGUGAGUGAAG
rnacentral:rRNA from 1 species